GGAAAGGGGUUUCUUUUCACACUAUUCUGAAGAAAGAAACCUGGUGCACUUCUGAAACACGUAAAACAGAGGAGAAAGAGUGAGAGAAACUUUCCCCUUGCACCCUAGCCGUCACCGUCCCAAGCCCCACCACCGUCGACGUGUUCGCACAAGAGGGAGAAGGAGUUCGCGAGCGAGAGGGAGAGAGGAAGGUCACGCGUGGAAGAAGAGGAGAGAAACCAGAACCUUGCUCUUCAAUUUCAUCUUUUCUUCAAGCCUAAGGACAAAGAUGGUCGUGAAGAUAAUGGCGAUGACACAUUCUUGGGAGUUGAUGCUACGUGACGUGCCAAUACCGGAGGACGACUACACUUCAGAGGAAGAGGAAGAGGCUAAGGAAUAGGGUUUGGGUUGAGAGUCUUUUGUUUUCUGUUGGGGUUGAGAGUUUCCGAAGUGUUGGUAUCGAACAAUUUUAUUGCUUAAAUUCGAAUGAACAAGUUUUGAUGUAAUCUUUAUUUUCAUUCAGGCCUUUGAUUCGUACUCUUUACAGUUGGUUAUUUAAAAAGUUUUACGAUGUUGGUUA